GCCGAGAGCACCCCUCCUGCGCAGCUCACAAAUAUUUGAAAUAUUACUACCUGAUGUCAACUUGAUUGUCAACAUAAAAUGGGCGUAGCAUUCAGUUACAAGACAGUUAUCCAGAUGAUUCAGAAGGUGAACUGAACUUGACCAUGAAUGAGCAGUGAAGACUGCGCCCCGAGCAGAAAGACUAAGAAGUGUGACUUACACCACCAAGUCCCUUGUGCCAUCUUGAUUCCAAUUCAGCCUUCUAAUUCUCUAAUAUUCCUGUGAAUAUUCCUCGUUUCAUCUUUGUAGCCACAUGAGAGAAGCUAGAGGAAGGAGGAUAACCUGAACAAUGCAGAGGGAAAGAAAUUGAGGAGAGCAGCUGUCAAAAGGAGAUUAGAGCUUAUUCGAUGCUUGUAUCCUCAAAAUCUUUAUUUUCACAGUGAACACUUGUGGGAGAAGUCAAAAUUUAAAGUUUUCUGAGGAGAGGUCAAAUUUAAAGGUAGACCCCUAAUCCUGUGAGUUAUUUCCUCUUUUAUGAUUUUUCAGCUUGUUGAAGUAGGGGGAUGGGACCUUACAGUGUCUAAGGAGUGUCUUUCUUUUUUAUGCCUAUUAAAAAUAACUUU